UACGUAGGGUGCGAGCGUUAAUCGGAAUUACUGGGCGUAAAGCGUGCGCAGGCGGUUCGUUGUGUCGGUGGUGAAAGCCCCCGGGCUUAACCUGGGAAUGGCCAUGGAAACUGGCGAACUGGAGUGUGGCAGAGGGGGGGUGGAAUUCCGCGUGUAGCAGUGAAAAUGCGUAGAGAUGCGGAGGAACACCGAUGGCGAAGGCAGCCCCCCCUGGGCUAGCACUGACGCUCAGGCACGAAAGCGUGGGGGAGCAAAACAGG
rnacentral:rRNA from 1 species